rnacentral:lncRNA from 1 species
GUGUGUGUUCUGGUCGUACAAAACACAGGAGCCAAGAAGGGCUCUCAAGCUCAAACCCUAACAAGCAUAAAAUCAACAAAUUGAAGGGGUAAAUCCAACCUAAAUCGAAAUCCAAGCACGAAUUCAUGAUCACCUCGAUGAAGGGAUCAUAAGGUAUGCCAAAUUUCAUUAUUUAUUUGACUCUUGACAAGCUAGAUGGAGGCUUGGGGAAAGAAGCGGGUCAAACGGAUCGUAUACGCGGAAAAGAGCAUAAUCCGGAUACUAGGUAAGUUAAAGCUUACACCUUUUAUUAACAACUAUUGGUUUUAUAGAUUAUGAAUAAUCGAAAGUCAUAUUUGACUUAUGAUGUUUUGACCCGUCAUGUGCGGUUCGGAACAAAAUACAUUAAUGAUAAACCAUGUUGAAUGAUUAAAAAGAGCUAAUAAGAUCAUUUAGUCAUGCAAUGACUAAUAAAUAACGAGUUCUAAAUGAUUACCUUGUAAGGUAAAUCAAUACAAUUAAUAAGGGUUAAACGGUAAGGUGGUCACUAGUUGACGAUAACCGUUAGUUUUGAAGGACACUUUAUGGCGUAAGAUAUAAAGGGGUCAAAAUGAUCAAGAAAUAGAUUUAUAAGGAAAAUUGACCGUACGGUGUAAACCGGUACAAGUCAUGUAGACGAGAUGAUGAUAAAUCCAUCUCGCAAAAGUAAACGAUCAUUUAGACCAAACGGGUCAAAAGGUGAAAAUAUCACCCUUUGACAAUAUCGACUAAUGGUUUGUCGAGUUGUAUGAUUACAGGAAUAAAUAUCGAUUGAAUGUUGACAUCGCUAUUACUUAGCGGCUACUAAGGCAAGGUAUCGAAACGGGUCAAUAUAUUGAUCCGAGCCAGGUUUGUAUAAUGAUUCAACUCGUCAUGUAGAACUUGAGGUUCUAUAAGUGUUAGACAAGGAUAAAAUAUAGAUAUUCGGUUAUCAUUAAGGUAAACCGAAUAAAUUGGGUCAUGAUUAUGGUAUUAUAGAAAUAUAAUGGUUUCUAAACAAGAUUAUAGUUUUAAAAGUGAGAUUUUGGUCGAACAUGGCUUUAAAGGUCCUUCGUCGUAAUAGGAGGGGUAAAAGUGACCAAAAUGCUCUUAUAAGUUAAAUUAAGCAAACGAUCCCUAAAGGUUGCUUAGAAAUGAGUUUUGUAACCAAAUAGAUACUUGUAUUAAGUAUAAAAAGUGAAAUAUGUGAAUCUUUGGGUCAAAUGACUCUAUAUGAGUCUUUGCCAUAAAAUGAUAAUCCAAAGGGUAAAACUCGGAAUAAAUAGAUCUCCACAUUAAAUCCUCCACACAUAUAGUUGUGGUGGAAGAUAAAUUGAUAAAUAAUAUGGAAGUACAAUGCUAGAAGUGAAUGGGUAUGAAUUAUGCGGUAAAAGUGCUUAAAUACCCUUAACGGGUCAAAAUAAGCUUCUAAGUCAAAACGGGUUAAAGAAGGUAUACAAACCCGUGAUUUUGAGCCUAAUAUAAUAGGAGAUAUUGAAAUUAUGAAGUUCAUGGGUUUAAAGAUCAAAUAGGCAUGUUUGUUUGAUAAAAUCACGAACGGGUCAAAAUUUGGUAAAAAGGGUAAUAAGCCAAAGAUUUAAAAGUCUUAAAUUUUUGUUAAUCCGGAUGUCGGAUUUUAACUCCAUAUGAUGGAGAAUUAAAUUACGGACG